rnacentral:rRNA from 1 species
GACGAACGCUGGCGGCGUGCCUAAUACAUGCAAGUCGAGCGGGGAUUAUGCUUGAUCGCUUCGGUGAGACGGCAUAUAUCCUAGCGGCGGACGGGUGAGUAACGCGUGGGUAAUCUACCUCGUAGUUCGGGAUAACAGGCCGAAAGGCUUGCUAAUACCGGAUGAGUUCAUGCUUAUGCAUAUAGGCAUGAAGAAAGGGCUAGCCCGCUAUGAGAUGAGCCCGCGUCCCAUUAGCUUGUUGGUGGGGUAAUGGCCUACCAAGGCAACGAUGGGUAGCCGGCCUGAGAGGGUGACCGGCCACACUGGGACUGAGACACGGCCCAGACUCCUACGGGAGGCAGCAGUGGGGAAUAUUGGACAAUGGGCGAAAGCCUGAUCCAGCGACGCCGCGUGAGGGAUGACGGCCUCGGUUGUAACCGUACUUUCUAGUAGGGACGAAGCGAAAGUAGACGGUACCGUACCAGAAGAAGGAACCGGACCGAACUAACCGUGCCAGCAGCCGCGGUAAACG